rnacentral:misc_RNA from 1 species
UUGCCCUCUGCUGCGCAG